rnacentral:lncRNA from 1 species
UCAAAAUUUAAUGACAAAAGAACUUUGAAGUGAAAAAUAUUAUUAACAUAAAUAUAAUUCAUUACAAAGAAAUCUAAAAUAAAAAAGGUAAAAAAUCAAUAGUCUAAAAAUACGAUUACAUCAUAGAAGAAAAAUAAAAGUAACAUUACACAAAAGCAUAAUUAAGUAAACAACAUGUUGUUGUUUCAUGAAUGCUUCAACUUCCUUAAAUUUGCUAUCUUCUUCCUUGAUUUUAACUUUUGAUCCUUGUUGUGCUAAGACAAUGUUGUAGUAGAAGAUGACUUUGAAGGUACCUGUCAUUUUUUUAUCUUUAUAAAAUUAAAGAAUUUUCCAAAAGUAUUUCACAAUUUGAUCAUCUAUUAUUGGUACAUCAUUUUUCUCUAUCUAUCAUUUGUCUUUGCAUGAUUAAAAAAUAAUAUUAAUAAUAAAAAACUUGAGAAAACACUUAAUUGGUAUAGGAGAAUAAUCUUAUAAAAGAAAAUCUUAUUGCCAAAAUGAAAGAAUAGUAAAUAGCAAGGUAAAUAGCUAUAAAUAAAAAUAUUUAGGUAAGAAUGCAAAAUUAAUUAAAUUCUCAAUGAAACAUAUCCACAAUCAAUUCUUUCAUCCAAUAAAAAAAUGGAAAAAAUUCUAAAUGAAAGACAGGAGAUUACAAGCACAUACUUGCUUUCAUUAUUACUUCAAAUUAACAAUAUAAUCAAAAGAUUACAAGCACAUAAUCAACCUCGAUUCACUUGCACAAAUUUUACAUCCAAAGCUCUGAACUUAAUCGAUUAAACAGUUGGUGUCAAACUUGAACUAAAUUAAAUUAUUAAGCAGUCAAUAAAUCAACAUUUACAGUACAAUAAAUAUAAAGUUGAAAGAAAUAAAAGAUUAAGUCAAAAAAUAAAAAUAAGAUAGGUUACACAUUUAGAUUUUGUAUGGAGACUACUUGAACCUUUUUCGCUCACUCUAAUACAUUUUCUUAAAUCGAGGAAACUCUCUCCAUACUUUUUUGUUAUCCCAAUACAAAAGAAGAUAAGCAUAUUAAUUUUGACUAAAAAUACAACGACCACUUGGGGAAAAAAAAGGCUUUUUGACCUUUAUUUAGUCACUUCAUCUACACUUCCUAGCAAAUCCAGCAAAUCCAACAAUAUUUUCAGCAAACUUUAGCAACCCAAGCUUCAAAAUCGUCCUUCCAACCAACACGUGUUUUAUAAUUAAAAGUUUGUAGCUUAACUUAUUAUUAUAUCGGCUGGACUCAAAUAACUUAUUAACUUUUUUUACUAUAUUAAUACUAGCUAUAAUUACCUUUAAAAAAAUAAAGAAAGAUGAUUAAUUACAUACCAAGUUGAAGUGAACAAAAAUUAGAAAGAUCCCAUUUUCGAAAGUUCUUAUGAAAAAAUAUUAGGAAAAAAAAAUCUGAUAUCAGCACGCCUAAACCCACUGCUCAAAUUGAAAAACAAAUUCAUCUUAAUAUCCUAAUUUUGCAAAAGUUUCUCAAAACCUACUAAACUUUGCUUCAAAUUCCUUCAUUUAUUUGCAUAUAUUUUAUGUUUUUCUUUUACUAGAUUCUCUUAGGAAUUUUAUCAAGCACCUGAUAAGCAUAAAAAUAUUCAAAUAAUAGAUCUAAGAAUUUCAAUCCCUAAUUUUACCAAACACAAAAAUAUGAAUUUCACAUAAUCCAAUCACAAUUAAACUAAUCAAAAUUAAAUUGGCUGAGUUUAUAUAUACUCACAAUUUCGAAGUAGAACGAGAGAUGAGAGUGAGUUUUGCUGAGUGGCUAAUAAAUUGGAAAGGAUUACAAAAGAUAAAGAUGGGUAGUUUUUUAAUACAAAACCAAUUAAAGUGAAGUGGCCUGGGAGAGAGUGGGGGGAAAUUAAAUGGUUUUGUUUGGAUAACAACAAAAUUGGCCAGGGAAUCAGUGGGAGGGGAUUUAUUUGUAUUUCACGAUUUCAUUAGAGAAACUUAUGUUCUAUUUAAGUUUAGUUAUUCUUUUA